GUGGUGCGGGGAUCUGGCCGGCGCCCUUACUCAGGGGAAUGUUCCGGAUUCUGUCUCCUGUGCGAGACGUUUUCUGUAUACAGCUGGGUGCUUGCUGGAGGACUUUGUGUUGGUGCAUUUCUCACGCGUGUAGGCACUGCAGUGUAUGUGUUCCACGUUGGCCACGCAGAGCAGGUGGCUGGUUUUCAGACCUAUGACCUGUUCUGACCCUAGAAACCAGACACCAAGAUGGAUGGAGCUGCUGCUAGAAAGGGAGCACAAAGGCGGCAGCCCCAAGGUGAGCCGGCCCGGCGCAGCCUGGUGUAGGGCCUCAGUCAGCCGGCCUCUCAAUGCCGCAGUA